CUUGCUCCUUUGACGUUAGCGGCGGACGGGUGAGUAACACGUGGAUAACCUACCUAUAAGACUGGGAUAACUUCGGGAAACCGGAGCUAAUACCGGAUAACAUAUUGAACCGCAUGGUUCAAUAGUGAAAGGCGGCUUUGCUGUCACUUAUAGAUGGAUCCGCGCCGUAUUAGCUAGUUGGUAAGGUAACGGCUUACCAAGGCAACGAUACGUAGCCGACCUGAGAGGGUGAUCGGCCACACUGGAACUGAGACACGGUCCAGACUCCUACGGGAGGCAGCAGUAGGGAAUCUUCCGCAAUGGGCGAAAGCCUGACGGAGCAACGCCGCGUGAGUGAUGAAGGUCUUCGGAUCGUAAAACUCUGUUAUCAGGGAAGAACAAAUGUGUAAGUAACUGUGCACAUCUUGACGGUACCUGAUCAGAAAGCCACGGCUAACUACGUGCCAGCAGCCGCGGUAAUACGUAGGUGGCAAGCGUUAUCCGGAAUUAUUGGGCGUAAAGCGCGCGUAGGCGGUUUUUUAAGUCUGAUGUGAAAGCCCACGGCUCAACCGUGGAGGGUCAUUGGAAACUGGAAAACUUGAGUGCAGAAGAGGAAAGUGGAAUUCCAUGG
rnacentral:rRNA from 1 species